CACUUCGGGCCGCUCAUCGAGGGCGACGUGGGCGAGUUCCUCCGUGGCCGCCGCGCAGGACGGCGCCUGGGCCGGCUACCCCGAGCUGCUGGCCAUGGGCGCAUGCUGAACCUCAACAUCCACCUGACGACGGGGGGCCGCUGGGAGAGCCCCACCGUGUCCACCAUGGUCCACUACCUGGGGCCCCGAGGACGCCCUGAGGCCCAGCAUCUGGCUCAGCUGGCUCAGCAACGGCCACUACGACGCGGUGUUCGACCGCUGCUACCCCCAACCCGGAGUACGAGCGCUGGUGCCGGCAGACGCAGGCGCAGCGGCAGCGCGACGAGGAGCUGGCCAGGUCCAUGGCCGUGUCCCUGUCCAAGAUGUACAUCCAGCAGAACGCGUGCUCCGGAACCUGAGCCUCGCUGCGUCUGGACCGGGUUGCAAGGGGCAAGGGGAAGAAUGCCGGCAGGGAAGUCAUGCUCCGCCGUUGCUUCUCCUCCUUCUGCCGGCCCUGGCUCGCUUCUGGCCGUCGGGUUCAGUAACCCACGUGUUACUCCGAGAGCCAAAUCGUCCACAGAGCCAGCUCCCAGGCUGCUGUGUGGGGAGCGCGUGGGUGAGUGCCUACAGGUUACCUAG
ensembl:lncRNA